GCUUAAUUUCCGACCAACUAAAUCACAGACAAGACCAUCACACACACAGCAGACGCAGAUGAGUAGCUCAUCAGAAAACUUCUGAAUUUGAGUCCUCAAGAACAAAUUCGAAUCCAAAACCCCAUUUAAAUGGCAUAUUCCGUGGGUUCUUCCACACCCAUUUGGUCCUUUAAUCCCUCGAGCAAGCCCAUGUUUGUUCCUAAUAAGGCUUUUCGGAUAAAUGAGGCGUUCCAAAGCACAAACCCCAUUAGGCUUUUGCCUUGUGCGGCCAAGGCUUCAGAUGGUGCAGAUAGUAACCAAACCAGGAAAAACAAAAGCAUACUUUGUUCUGACUGCAAUGGAAAUGGUGCUGUCCUAUGUUCUCAGUGUAAAGGCACAGGAGUUAAUUCAGUGGAUCAUUUCAAUGGACAGUUCAAAGCUGGUAGCAUAUGCUGGCUGUGCAGGUAUUGAUGAACAAACUCUCCUUGCUCUACUGUAACCCGAAGCUAAAAAAGUCGAGCGUAUGUUCUAUGGACCUAAAGUCCCGAUAUCCUAAGAUACGAGAAUUCCACGUUUGUGUAACCAUUGCAUCUAUUUGAGUUCAUCACCACGUUUGUGUAACCAUUGCAUCUAUGUUCUAUUAAUCUAUGCUCUCAAGUUGAUAUAAAUCAUUCCAUCUAUUAUCAACGAGUCUAGAUCAAACCUAGACUCAUUGCACUUUUUAGAAUAAGGUCAUUUCAAUUGUAACCAUUAUUCAUUUCGAGAUUUCUGAUAGAACGAUUAAAUUUGAG